GAAGAAGAGGAAUGUUAAAUGUAAAAGUAAACAAAAAUUUACGCUAGUAAGGAGAAGAGAGUCGUGUAGUACAAUCCGGACCGAAAGGUAGUCACAAAUACGUUGUGGCACACUGAAACGCCAAGAAACAACUGCUUCCAUGAAGACACCAACCAACUUGCCAAAUCUGCAGAAGAUAGCCAGCGUCAACAACAGAUAAAAAGCUGUUUCUAACAUUUAACCAACACACAGUGGUGAAUUCGCAAAGCAUAACUGUAAUAUUUAGAAUAAUGUGCACACAAUUUUCUUGUAAAUUGGAAAAGUUAAAAAUAAACGAUAAAAAAUGGUAUUGAAAUAAAAUAAACA